UCAGGACCCAAGUAAAAUGGUAACCUCUCCCGUGCAGCCUUCUCUAACUGGAUCCUCCCCCCAGUUCCCCAGUGACCUCUCCCUCCUCAAACUAUAUUUCUGUACUUGUCUUUUGAGUGUAAGGCCCUGGAGAGAAAGGGAGUUCUAGGGGUCAAGAGGUGCUACGAAGGACGCCUCACAUCCAUCUUCCGGUUAAUUCCCAGUGCAACAGAAUGACUUCUAGACUCUGAUAUGCAGUUGGAUGGACAGCCCAUAGAUCUCAUUCAUCAGUUGUUCAGCCAUACCCAACUCUUCUUGACUCCAAGGCUAUGAGCUCCACCACAGAGUUCUGCAAGGAUGUGGGAGAGAGAACCAUGACCACUCCUGGCCAGCCAAGAGGAGAAGCACUGAGGCCGUCCUACUAACAUCAGAGGUAUCCAGACAGAAUAAGUAGGUCCAUCUAAAGGCCAAACAAGUAUAAGGAGAGGCCAGCAGAGGAAUCGCUGCAGGGGACAUGGGAAAGCAAAAGGCAGGUGCCAGGGAAGACAAUGACAAAAGGAACCAAGAGCUACCUCAAGGCUUCAGUCCUCAUACAAACAACUAUGUAUAGUCAGCUUCCCUGGCCUUUCAGGGCACAGGGAAAGAGGCUAAGUCACCUCAAUAGUAACCUUGUAGAAGCAAGGCAGGACCCAUGGAAAGAUUCAUUAAAGACCCAGGAUGAGAAGAUCCUUCAGGC